UGAUUCUAUAGAGAAUACAGGCGUUUCUUUAAUUACUGGUGACGGUACAACUACUGCUACAGUUUUAGCUUAUGCAAUUGU
rnacentral:tRNA from 1 species